UACAGAGGGGGCAAGCGUUAUUCGGAAUUAUUGGGCGUAAAGGGCGCGUAGGCGGCCUGGCAAGUGGAAGGUGAAAUCCCUCGGCUUAACCGAGGAACUGCCUCCCAAACUGCUUGGCUUGAGACCGGGAGAGGUGAGUGGAAUUCCCAGUGUAGCGGUGAAAUGCGUAGAUAUUGGGAGGAACACCAGUGGCGGAGGCGGCUCACUGGACCGGUACUGACGCUGAUGCGCGAAAGCGUGGGGAGCAAACGGG
rnacentral:rRNA from 1 species